rnacentral:rRNA from 1 species
AUACGGAGGGUGCAAGCGUUAAUCGGAAUUACUGGGCGUAAAGCGCUCGUAGGCGGCUUUUUAAGUCGGAUGUGAAAGCCCCGGGCUCAACCUGGGAACUGCAUUCGAUACUGACAAGCUAGAGUAUAGUAGAGGCAAGUGGAAUUCCGGGUGUAGCGGUGAAAUGCGUAGAUAUCCGGAGGAACAUCAGUGGCGAAGGCGACUUGCUGGACUAAUACUGACGCUGAGGAGCGAAAGCGUGGGGAGCAAACGGGAUUAGAAACCCCAGUAGUCC